CUGCUAGGUUACUUCAUUACAUGACGUCUUUUACGCAGGAACCGAGUGUGAUCGUCUGGGCGGUGUGUUCACUCUGCGGGGAUGAUGGCCAGAGGAAGGAUGAUAGACAGACGACAGCUUGCAGAAGAAGAUGGGAGCGUUCUACCUGUGAGCCUGGUCGAGUUUAUAUUUUAUGGAUACACAUGCAUGGAUACACAUACAUGGAUUCCCUACAAGGACCCUGCGCAUCAAAAGCAAUCUUUCAUCAACGUUAAGUAGACAGAUUAAACGAAAUGAAGAUAUGACAGGUGUACACCAUAUUUUUCUUCCAUUUAACCUCAGCAUGUUUCCCAGUCAAUAAAUGUUUUUAUC